GUCUGUGGCACAGUGGGGCAGUGUGUUUGGCUGCUAACCAGAAGAUUGGUGGUUCAAGCCCACACAGGGACA